GAAAAGGAGGGAAUUGUGAGUGGGUAUGAGUUGGUUCAGCCUUAACUGCUAGUUGGGUGACGGCGGGAGAUGAUGAUAAAAGUUCUGUUAUUUUGUCAACAAAACAUGGAAAAUACAAAGUCUAAGCCAUCAGGUGCACAAUUUAGAAAGAAGAGGAAAUAAGAAGAAGAGGAGAAACGGGACAAAGAUAAAAGCAUACGGACAAUGAGGCCAUUGCCUCCUUGGAGCAAACUGUGUGAUGGGACUCUGUCAUCAAGAAGGAGUGGGCUGAGUUCAGAGAAGAGCUGGAAGACAAUGGUGUCCUGAUUGAAGUUGGGCGUGCAGCAGGAGCCGGGACAACUGGACACACCUGCACCUACUCAGGCUGCGUAUAGGGACAGCUGUGAGAUGCCGGUUCCUUCCCUUACACUCCAGCCAGCUUGCUCAUCACUCACUAGCCUCUUCUGCACUUCUGGGUUACUCCAGUUGUCCCUGUCCUCCUUACUUGGGUUUUUUUGUGUUUGUGACCUUUUUUCCCUGGGGCGCCACUUGCGGACAGCAGCGCCUUUAGUUCACUUUUUUCUGGCUGCCUCUGUUUAGUGUUGCCAUUAAAGACUGUCCCUCCUGCUGCUGCAUUGCGUGGUCCACCACAUGCACACUGUAUCACAAGCUUCUGUCGAAUUUUAAGGUCCUUAAAAACCAGCAUCUGAAGUAAGUGUGAAGACGUUUGUGUUGUUUGACUUUGAAGAUUACAACACUUGCUCCCUGUAAAUGGAGGCUGCUGUAUUUGUCAUGAAACUGCUAUAGGUGGCAAUGAUCUGCCUUGUUAUGUGGGUGGAACUUACUGCAAAGUUUUUUAACACAUUUACACAUUGAUUUGUGGCUAGGAAGAUUUUACGUUGAACACACAAUA